rnacentral:rRNA from 1 species
AACGAACGCUGGCGGCAGGCUUAACACAUGCAAGUCGAACGCUCCGCAAGGGGAGUGGCAGACGGGUGAGUAACGCGUGGGAACGUGCCCUAAGGUAUGGAAUAACUUCGGGAAACUGAAGCUAACACCAUAUGUGACCGAGAGGUGAAAGUUUAUCGCCUUAGGAUCGGCCCGCGUCAGAUUAGCGAGUUGGUGGGGUAAUGGCCUACCAAGGCGACGAUCUGUAGCUGUUCUGAGAGGAAGAUCAGCCACACUGGGACUGAGACACGGCCCAGACUCCUACGGGAGGCAGCAGUGGGGAAUCUUGGACAAUGGGCGCAAGCCUGAUCCAGCCAUGCCGCGUGGAUGAUGAAGGCCCUAGGGUUGUAAAAUCCUCUCGUUGGGGACGAUAAUGACGGUACCCAAAGAAGAAGCUCCGGCUAACUUCGUGCCAGCCGCCGCCGUAA